GGCUCAGCGCCUGGCGAGUCCUCCGCUUGUACUGAGACGCCUGGGAUCUCAAAAUGGCGGCCCCGUGCGGAAACAGCGUCUGGGAGCAGUCAUGUUGCCUCCUGAACAAAGCCGCUGAAGAUGAAGAAUGGGCAAAAUCGCCCCAUACGGAACAGCGCAGCCUCGGGAGCCCGUUACCUGGCUCGCGAACACGAAGCGGGAGAGUUCGCCAAUAUGGAUGUGACAGCGGUUCCCAUUAAGCGGUGAUAGGAUUUUUGGGACCUGAUAAUCAAGCUAGGGACCUGAUUCCUCAGACCUCUGCCCUAUCGGAAGGGAAGCAGAAAAUGAUCAGGUCUCAGGGUCCAGUGUCAUUUGAGGAUGUGGCUGUGGAUUUCACCCAGGAGGAGUGGCAGCAACUGGACUAUGCUCAGAGGACCCUGUACAGGGAUGUGAUGCUGGAGAUCUAUAGCCACCUGGUCUCAAUGGGAUAUCCAGUUUCCAAACCAGAUGUCAUCUCCAAGUUGGAACAAGGAGAAGAGCCAUGGAUCAUAAAGAGACACAUACCAAAUUGGAUCUAUCCAGACAGAGAGAGUAGACUUGACACCCCUCAACUGGAUAUAUUUAGAGAUGUUUUCUUCCAUAAGGAGACACUGGAAAGUAUUACAAGGGGUCAUUCAUUGUACUCCAUUUUAAAAGUCUGGCAAGGUGAUGACCAGCUGGAGAGAGAUCAGGAAAACUGAGACAAAUUUGUCAGGCAAGUUGUAGUCAUCAACAACAAAAGAAUAUCUGAAGAGUCAGGUCAUCCAUAUAAUAUAUUUGGAAAAAUAUUUCAUGACUGCACAGACCUAGAUACUUCAAAACAAAGACUGUGUAAGUGUGAUUCAUUUGAAAAGACCUUGAAACCAAAUAUUAACCUAGUGAGUUAUAAUAGGAAUUUUGCAAGAAAAAACAUUGAUGAGAAUUUUAGAUGUGGGAAAACACCUAGCUACAGUUCUUGCUAUUCUAAGCAUGAAAAAAAUCAUAGUGGAAUGAUACACUGUGAAGCUACUCAUUGUGGAAAGAUUCUUAGCAAUAAACAAUCUCUUAUUCAUUAUGUGAAUGUUGAAACUGGGGAGAAGACCUAUGUAUGUGUUGAAUGUGGAAAAUCCUUUCUCAAGAAGUCACAGAUUAUUAUACAUCAAAGAAUUCAUACUGGAGAGAAACCUUAUGAUUGUGGUGCAUGUGGAAAAGCCUUCAGUGAGAAGUCACACCUUAUUGCACAUCAGAGAACUCAUACUGGGGAGAAACCUUAUGAUUGUUCUGAAUGUGGAAAAGGCUUUUCUCAGAAAUCAUCCCUCAUUAUACAUCAGAGAGUUCACACUGGGGAAAAACCAUAUGAAUGUAGUGAAUGUGAGAAAGCCUUCUCCCAGAAAUCACCCCUCAUUAUACAUCAGAGAAUACAUACUGGGGAAAAGCCCUAUGAAUGUAGAGUGUGGGAAAGCCUUUUCCCAGAGUCACAGCUGAUUAUACAUCACAGAGCUCAUACUGGAGAGAAGCCAUGUAAGUGUACUGAAUGUGGGAAAGCAUUCUGUUUUAUACAUUAAAGAGUUCACACUGGUGAGAAACCCUACAAAUGUGCUCAAUGUGAGGAAGCCUUCAGCAGGAAGUCAGAACUCAUUAUACAUCAGAUAAUUCAUACUGGGGAGAAACCGUAUGAAUGUACAGAAUGUGGGAAAACAUUCUCUCGCAAGUCACAACUCAUCAUACAUCAGAGAACCCACACUGGAGAGAAACCCUAUAAAUGUACCAAAUGUGGAAAAUCCUUCUGUCAGCAGUCACAUCUCAUUGGACAUCAGAGAAUUCACACGGGAGAACAACCUUAUGUAUGUUCUGAAUGUGGGAAAGCCUUCUCUCAGAAGUCUCACCUCCCAGGGCAUUGGUGAAUUCAUACAGGAGAGAAACCUUACAUAUGUGCUGAAUGUGGAAAGGCCUUUUCUCAGAAGUCAGACCUUGUUGUACAUCAGAUAAUUCAUACUGGAGAGAAACCUGAUCGAUGUACUGUAUGUGGGAAGGCCUUCAUCCAGAAGUCCCAACUCACUGUACAUCAGAGAAUUCAUACACUAAUGAAAUCAUAAGAAUGGUCUGAACACAGAAAAGCCUUCAGGGUCAGUUCAAGCCUUAAUAGAUAGUGCAACAACCAAUGGAUUUGAUGAUUUUGGGGACUACAUCUUUGUUGAUAAAAUUUUACAAGUGAAGUCAUGUUCCUAAUGUAUUUCAUUCUUUAUCAAAGAUAAUAGAGAAGUCAAUACGUAAAUGAUGGACAUUUUCACUAUGGCAUAUAAAAGUUUUUAAAUUGAGAAAUGAAUGAUUAGCAUAACAGAACGAAUUGCAUGUACAUCUCUUUUGAAGUUAUGUGCUCCUGAUUAUACUACAUAACAAUCAGAUAUGUGUAAGAUUGUUAA